GAUGAACGCUGGCGGCAUGCCUAACACAUGCAGGUCGAACGAGACCUUCGGGUCUAGUGGCGCACGGGUGCGUAACGCGUGGGAACCUGCCUUUAGGUUCGGAAUAACUCAGAGAGAUUUGAGCUAAUACCGGAUGAUGUCUUCGGACCAAAGAUUUAUCGCCUUUAGAUGGGCCCGCGUUGGAUUAGCUAGUUGGUGGGGUAAAGGCCUACCAAGGCGACGAUCCAUAGCUGGUCUGAGAGGAUGAUCAGCCACACUGGGACUGAGACACGGCCCAGACUCCUACGGGAGGCAGCAGUGGGGAAUAUUGGACAAUGGGCGAAAGCCUGAUCCAGCAAUGCCGCGUGAGUGAUGAAGGCCUUAGGGUUGUAAAGCUCUUUUACCCGAGAUGAUAAUGACAGUAUCGGGAGAAUAAGCUCCGGCUAACUCCGUGCCAGCAGCCGCAGUAACAC
rnacentral:rRNA from 1 species